rnacentral:rRNA from 1 species
GACGAACGCUGGCGGCGUGGAUUAGGCAUGCAAGUCGAACGGUAGGAUACCUUCGGGUAUCUGAGAGUGGCGAACGGGUGAGUAACACGUAGGUGAUCUACCCUCAAGAUUGGGACAACCCAGGGAAACUUGGGCUAAUACCGGAUGAAAGCAGCAGUGAUGUUGUUUGAAAGGUGGCGUAAGCUGCCGUUUGGGGAUGAGCCUGCGCUCUAUUAGUUAGUUGGCGGGGUAAAGGCCCACCAAGGCGAUGAUAGAUAGGCGGCCUUAACGGGUGGUCGCCCACACUGGGAUUGAGAUACGGCCCAGACUCCUACGGGAGGCAGCAGUCGAGAAUAGUCUACAAUGGCCGAAAGGCUGAUAGUGCGACGCCGCGUGAACGAAGAAGCCCUUCGGGGUGUAAAGUUCUUUUAUAUGUGAGCAGUGCUUUCUAUGUGAACAGCAUGAGGAGAGAGAUAUUAGCAUAUGAAUAAGCAACGGCUAACUCCGUG